rnacentral:rRNA from 1 species
UACAGAGGGGGCGAGUGUUGUUCGGAAUUACUGGGCGUAAAGGGCGCGUAGGCGGCCUCUUAAGUCGAACGUGAAAUCCCCGGGCUCAACCCGGGAACUGCGUCCGAUACUGGGAGGCUCGAAUCCGGGAGAGGGAUGUGGAAUUCCAGGUGUAGCGGUGAAAUGCGUAGAUAUCGGAAGGAACAUCAGUGGCGAAGGCGGCCAUCUGGGACAACACUGACGCUGAGGCACGAAAGCGUGGGGAGCAAACAGG